rnacentral:rRNA from 1 species
CCUACGGGAGGCAGCAGUGAGGAAUAUUGGUCAAUGGACGAGAGUCUGAACCAGCCAAGUAGCGUGAAGGAUGACUGCCCUAUGGGUUGUAAACUUCUUUUAUAAAGGAAUAAAACGAGGCACGUGUGCCUUUUUGCAUGUACUUUAUGAAUAAGGAUCGGCUAACUCCGUUCCAUCAGCCGCGGUAAUACGGAGGAUCCGAGCGUUAUACGGAUUUAUUGGGUGUAAAGGGAGCGUAGAUGGGUUGUUAAGUCAGUUGUGAAAGUUUGCGGGUCAACCGUAAGCUUGCAAUUGAUACUGGCAGUCUUGAGUGCAGUUGAGGUAGGCGGAAUUCGUGGUGUAGCGGUGAAAUGCUUAGAUAUCACGAAGAACCCCGAUUGCGAAGGCAGCUUACUAAACUGUGACUGACAUUGAUGCUCGAAAGUGUGGGUAUCAAACAGGAUUAGAUACCCCGGUAGUC